UGUAAUGGGAGAAGAAGAAGACAGGCAGAAAGCCGGCAGCUAAAGAAAAUGAGUGGGCGGAGUCUCGGGUGAGUCGGUUGUUCGAGUCUGUGUGUGGAGUGAGCGUCGAUGCUAACCGGGCUAGCUGUGCGUCAAAUGGAUAUCGGGGAAAAUAAAUGUAAUAAAACUAACGCCGCAGUGAAAUGUAAGUCGACAGUUUCCCUUCAGCAAUCGGGGGAAAACAAAAAAAAAAAGAAUGGGGAGUUACCACACACCCGAAGUUUUCCUCUCCAUCUCACCCACCAUCACAAGUCCGCCAUUUUCCUUUCCCUAUCACCCGUCCGCCAUUUUACCUUCCACCUCACCCGCUAGGAGCCCUCACCCGCCGCCCAGGCUCCUCCAGCCUUAAACUCCUCUCACAGUGAAUCUAAUCCGUGAAGUGUAUGAAGUGAUGAUUCCAGAUGAAUGGUGCUCAGACGCAAAUUUACAGGAAGAAGAAAGAAGUCAAAAUCGCGAAAGUGGAAGAUGUCGAGGUCCGUUUUCUCUCCCAGCCUUUUGUGUUUCCGUGUGAUUUAUGAUUACAACAUCUGGCCUGCAGAAAGAAGCUCGUACAAGGAUGAUGGAGAGGAGAUAAAAGGAGAUGAGGAGGAAGGAAGAGAGAUGGAGAGAGAGAACAACAAAAGAGAGCGGGAUAAUCUGGAACAUUUUGCUGGCUUGUAUUAACCUUUUUCCUCAUCGGGUAUUGUCGCCAUGAUGGAGAGAUGAAAAGAGGUGGGAGGAGGAGAAACCCAUUAGAGUGUCACCUGAUCUCUCUCUCGCUCUCUCUCUCUCUCUCUCAUACACACGCUUUCACUCCCUUAUACACUCUCUAUCUCUCUCUCUCUCUCGUACACACUCUCUAUCUCUCUCUCUCUCUCGUACACACUCUCUCUAUCUCUCUCUCAUGCACACUCCCUUAUACACUUUCUCUAUCUCUCUUACUCUCUCUCUCUUGUACACUCUCUCUAUCACUCUCUCAUACACACGCUUUCACUCCCUUCUACACUUUCUCUAUCUCUCUUACUCUCUCUCUCUCGUACACUCU